AGUGAGAGAAAAGAGAGAGGGGGCCGCAUACUGGGGACAGUGGUGAGCCAGUCGGUCCUGAGAGGUGGAAGAGAAGAGAAGAGAAGAGAAGAGAAGAGAAGAGAAGAGAAGAGAAGAGAAAUGAGGAUCUCACGUUAAAAUCUGAUGAGAUGGAGAUGAAGAAACACCUCUGAUGCUGCCACGUGAAGUGAGCACAUAACCUGGUUGGACAUUUGCACUGGACCUCUGCAGCCACAAAACAGCUGGCACUUUCUCAGUCUGGACUCUGUUCUCAGGGUCUCCCAGAGAACACUUCUGCAACAACAGCUUCGGCAGCAACAGGUGCUUUCGUAACUCAAACUAGGUGACUCAGGAUAUCGGGGGGAUGGACAACAGCAGUAAGCCAGACACUUUGCCUCUUGGCCUGGGAAGGCAGUCUGCCAUGUCUGGGUCUCUACCCUCAUACCCCGUGGAGAAGGACUCUAUCCUCACUGCAGCCCGGCUCGCCCGCCGAGGAUGGACAGAGGACUAUUCCAACUGCCCAGCACGUCAACCCUCUGUCUCUCAGUCAGAUGAAAUUCAGGAUCCAAAGGGUGUUGAGAUCUGCCUGAAGGACCCCCGGAGCAGGCAGGUUUUCAUCGUGGACAGCAGGAAGACGGCUGAGGACAGAGAGAUGGACUCUGAAAAAAAGGCAGAUGAAGCAAAACAGGCUGAUGGUGCAUUCUCAGCUAACAAACAAGCAGACAGACAGACAGGUCUCUGCAGUCAGGCAGGAAUCCGUGUCUGGGUGACUCGCUGUCGCACCACAUGCAGACAGUCCCGAAGGUUUAAGGCCCCGAUACUACCAGUCAUAUCUGAGAUAUAGGCUAGCUGCCAUGUUCCAGGAAGAACAAUGAAUUAAACGUUACACACCUGGUUAUGCUCCUUCUUGGUUGUGAUAAGCGCACAAUAAUCUAUGUAGACUUUACUCAAACAUAUUAAAUGAAAGACUUAAAUGGCGUGAAUAAUGUUGUUGUAACUAUGUGAAUAAAUGGAAAAAAUGCUAAAAGAAAAAAAUGCAAAUAUGUACAAAUGUAACUGUGGGUUGUUUUUCUGUUCUAGUAAACACUUAGACAUUAUGGGUGCAGCAGAAAUAAUAUGGAAACUAAAUUUUGUCUGUCUGUUUUUUGUUGUCUGUCUACCCCUGAAUGAGUAGUAUUGUCUGUCGCAAUUUGUAAACACAAUAUUCAAAAUUGGCCCCUCCCCCAGCCCGUCUUGGAUGCACACCCUGCGGAGACUGACUGACUCCAUCGAAGAGAAUACUGAAUUAAAAUACAUAUUGACAUACAAUUGAAGAUAGAAACUGAAAUAUGACUUCAAAUUAUGUUAAAACAAAAGUAAUCUGACUACAUGCGUCUAAAAAUCUUCACCUUUAAAUCUAUUUUUUUCCUGGUUUUAGCCGAUACAUACUUUAAUUUUUAAACCACACAGAAACUGUAUUGCUGGAUUUAUUUGUUUUAUUUCAGUUCCCCUGUGCUGCCUAUUUAAUGAAGGACAUUAAAGGUACCAGGAGGAAUUUCCUUGAAAACAAAGUUGUUUAAAUUCUGUGUUAUUUACCAAAAUGCAUUACGUGUAUUUUUGUGGCCUCACGUUUAAUAAAUGUCCCUCCUCAUAAAUC